UUGUUCAACAUUAUCUAGUCUAAAUAUGGCAUGAUUCCACCAAUUGUAAUAUUCUGCGUCACUUUCAAAUCGGAACUUUUAUUUUGAAGGCCAGCCGCAAAUUCCACCAUUGUGUCUAAUCCUUAUUGUGGCUAGCUUCACGACACAUAUCCCUGUUCCAAGCUAAAGCUAGCUAGUUACUGCAGAAGUUGCUAAUAACAUAUGUAUCGAAGAUAUUUGCGAACAUUUUUGAUCCUGCUCGUUUGAUCCUGAUCUUAUUUCAAAUGCUCACACAGACGUUUUCCCAUUCGGUCGAACAAAUAGUUCCUCAUUACCAAAGCGGUAUUGUAAACACAUCGGUCGUGGCCGGUGUGUGCUUGUUUUUAUUUUUUAUUAAACCGUUAUUUAACUAGGCAAGUUAUUUAAAGAACAAAUUGUUAUUUACAAUGACCGUCUACCAAAAUGCCUCCUGCGGGGACGGGGGCUGUUAUUUAAAAAAGUAUUGGACAAAACACACAUCACGAAAAGAGAGACCUAAGACAGCAACACAGCAUGUAUUGUCCCCCCUCAUCGCUGCAACUCCCGUACGAACUCGGGAGAGGUGAAGGACACAAACCGCCAAGCCGCACUGCUUCUUGACACAAUGCUCGCUUUAACCCGGAAGCCAGUCUCACCAAUGUGUCAGGAUCUGCAGUGACGCAGCAGUUAGACCGCUGGUAGUCUAGUGGUUAGAGGAGGCAGGUAGCCUAGUGGUUAGAGGAGGAAGGUAGUCUAGUGGUUAGAGGAGGAAGGUAGUCUAGUGGUUAGAGGAGGCAGGUAGUCUAGUGGUUAGAGGAGGCAGGUAGUCUAGUGGUUAGAGGAGGCAGGUAGUCUAGUGGUUAGAGGAGGCAGGUAGCCUAGUGGUUAGAGGAGGGCGGCAGGUAACCUAGUGGUUAGAGGAGGCAGGUAGCCUAGAGGUUAGAGGAGGCAGGUAGCCUAGUGGUUAGAGGAGGACGGCAGGUAACCUAGUGGUUAGAGGAGGGCGGCAGGUAACCUAGUGGUUAGAGGAGGCGGCAGGUAACCUAGUGGUUAGAGGGGGGAGGCAGGUAGCCUAGUGGUUAGAGGAGGCAGGUGUCCUAGUGGUUAGAGGGUGGAGGCAGGGUAGCCUAGUGGUUAGAGGAGGCAGGUAGCCUAGUGGUUAGAGGAGGGCGGCAGGUAACCUAGUGGUUAGAGGAGGCGGCAGGUAACCUAGUGGUUAGAGGAGGCAGGUAGCCUAGAGGUUAGAGGAGGCAGGUAGCCUAGUGGUUAGAGGAGGAGGCAGGUAACCUAGUGGUUAGAGGAGGCGGCAGGUAACCUAGUGGUUAGAGGAGGCAGGUAGCCUAGAGGUUAGAGGAGGCAGGUAGCCUAGUGGUUAGAGGAGGCAGGUAGCCUAGAGGUUAGAGGAGGCAGGUAGCCUAGUGGUUAGAGGAGACAGGUAGCCUAGUGGUUAGAGGAGGCAGGUAGCCUAGUGGUUAGAGGAGGCAGGUAGCCUAGUGGUUAGAGGAGGCAGGUAGCCUAGAGGUUAGAGGAGGCAGGUAGCCUAGUGGUUAGAGGAGGCAGGUAGCCUAGUGGUUAGAGGAGGGCGGCAGGUAGCCUAGUGGUAAGAGGAGGCAGGUGGCCUAGUGGUUAGAGGAGGAGGCAGGUAACCUAGUGGUUAGAGGAGGCAGGUAGCCUAGAGGUUAGAGGAGGCAGGUGGCCUAGUGGUUAGAGGAGGCAGGUAGCCUAGUGGUUAGAGGAGGCAGGUAGCCUAGAGGUUAGAGGAGGCAGGUAGCCUAGUGGUUAGAGGAGGCAGGUAGCCUAGUGGUUAGAGGAGGCAGGUAGCCUAGUGGUUAGAGGAGGGCGGCAGGUAACCUAGAGGUUAGAGGAGGCAGGUAACCUAGUGGUUAGAGGAGGCAGGUAACCUAGUGGUUAGAGGAGGCAGGUAACCUAGUGGUUAGAGGAGGCAGGUAGCCUAGUGGUUAGAGGAGGGCGGCAGGUAACCUAGUGGUUAAAGGUUAGAGGAGGCAGGUAGCAGAGGGAGAGGACGCGGCAGAGGGAGAGGACGCAGGCGAGGGAGAGGACGCGGCAGAGGAAGAGGACACCCGAGAGUGGAGUAUAUGUUUCCAUGGCGUGUGUCUGCCCUAAGUCCCACCAUUCACCCUUGUACCACACAGCCUGGGUCUAAAGUGACCGUUCCAGGGGUUUUGGAGUUGUUUUUAAAAGUGGUAGGAACUUACAUCUGUUCCAGAGGUUGAGAUGGAUUACAAGAAGAAAAUGGGUGGGGUUGACCAUCUUGACCAACUGAGGAGCUAAUACAAUGUUGGACGCACAGGUCGAAAAUGGUGGAAGUAUGUGUUUUGGGGGAUACUCAACAUUGCCAUCAAAUGCGUACAUUGUGUGGGGGACCCUGCAAAGGCCCCUUCCCAGAAACCCCAGGCGCUGGUCCAUGAAGCCAUUCAGCUUGUCCAUUCACUUUGUGACGUGGCUACAGUGGCAGGAAGACGGGAGCCAAGACUGUGGCACGUGUGGACCGGGUUGUAACUCAUUUUGAAAGCAGGUGAAGUUUUGAAGGGCACAAGAGAGGCUUUGUGGUUUCUGAGUUUUCAUCCUGAGUGGACGCGGGGCAUAGAGUAGGAGCUGUGUUGAAACCUCCUUUGGGUGCUCUACGUGAUCUGUGCCACUAUGCAUGAUGGGACCGCGCUUCAGUGUAACAGUUUUAACUUUACGUCGUCCCCUCGCCCCGACACGGGCGCGAACCAGGGACCCUCUGCACACAUCAACAACAGUCACCCACGAAGCACGGUCGUUACCCAUCGCUCCACAAAGGCCACGGCCCUUGCAGAGCAAGGGGCAACACUACUUAAGUCUCAGAGCAAGUGACGUAACUGAUUGAAAUGCUACUAGCGCGUACCCGCUAACUAGCUAGCCAUUUCACAUCCGUUACACAUAAAACCACGGCUAGCUAGUUAGAACUGAUUGAAAUGCUACUAGCGCGUACCCGCUAACUAGCUAGCCAUUUCACAUCCGUUACACAUGAUGGGAUCGCGCUUCCAGAAGUUCCAUGACAUGUUGUCGGCUUAAUGCAAACACUAAAGUGUGACCGUGUGAAUUAUGAAUUUGUCCUACAAAUGUUUUAUUGUCUCUGAACAGUUGUUGUGUUUUGUAUCUUCUCUCUUUAUCUGUCGCUAUCUAAUAGUCGUUACAUUCACUGAAUUGUUGUCAAAGUAGGCUACUAUUUCUGAAUUUUGUGUCUGGCCUGGCCUGUAUUAAAUCUACUAUUUCUGAAUGUCGUGUCAGGCCUGGUGUAAAUCUUAUUGAGAGAGGCUAUCUACAUCUUGAAAUAGUCUCUGAUUAGUUGUUUUUACGUUUUUACAGAUGUAAGAAUAAUAGGGUUUCUGAAUACUGUUCUCUGUUCACAUUUUGGAUAAUUGUUUUAUUUAUAUGUGAAUUAAUAUUUGUAAGUAUAGUAUAUUAUACUUGGUACAUUUUGAGUGAGUAAUUUAGUCAAAUGUACUACAAUUUAAAUACUCUAGGGUUUUUGUUGUGUUGAGUGUCUUUACAGAAUAAAAGACAGAAUAAGUGUUA